CUCCUUUCUUUUUUCUUUCCUCUUUUCUCUUAUCCUAAAUCUACAACCAUCGUUGUCACAUCUUUGUACCAGCGAGACCCUCCUUUCUCUUCUCGUCCUUCUUUCGCCCGUGGUUCUAUGGUGGCAGAGGAACUAGACCCCUAUUGGUGCAAACCUCGAACACAUCCGCAAGCAAACAAUCCUAUUCGCCAAGAAACUAAGAAAGGAGUUCGAAUCCGUAAUUUGGAGUCUGACAACGUUCAAGAACUCUAAAAAAGCAUGACAUUGAAGUAUUCUUUCAAAAUCUAUGGAAGGUUCAUUUGAAUUUAUAGCUAUCUGGGUAAGAUUGUGGUUGAGCUAGCCGAUUUUUAUUUUGUUUUCUCUUGUCCCGGGAAUGAAUCUUUAGGAAUCUUCCAAUUAAAAUACUAAGUUUUGUCGCUUGCAUCUUUUCAAGUGUUUGCUUGCUUAUGUUAUUAAGAUGUCAUACAUCUCUUUAUCAUCCAUGAAUGUGUCGUUUGAAAAUUGAAAUGAGCUCUCAUGUUUCCGCCGGGUGUUCAAUUAUAGGUUGUAGAGCUCUUUGCUUUUUUCAUUUUUUCAAACAUGAAUAGUCUAAUCAAGUAUUCUCGUCACCUAUUCUACCCCCUUCACCAUGUUAAAUGUGUUGAAACUAAUCAACAUGAAGUUCCAUUAAGGAAGAGACUUGACGAGUUAUUUUCUUUUAUUUUGGUAAAGAUGUGUCAUUUGCAGGUGCAUGUUUGUGGUAGUUAGGCUGUACUCUUCUCAUUUUUUUAACCUGAAAUUUGAUUCAUUAGUUCUGCACGUUUUUUCUUGUUUGCCACAUUUGCAGUAGGUCAUCUAACUUGCUAAGUUCCGAGUUUGAAUUUAUUUCUUGUGUCUACUCUUCAAACUGGAAACUUUAAAUUAUUUUAUGGUCUCAGAUUAUGUAUCAUCUUAAGACGUUACUUAUUUACAUUAUUUAAGCCCAAGUCUCUAAUCUUUAUUUCUUUCAUUUUACAUGUACACCCGGGAGCGCAUUUGGAGCCAUGGUUCGACUCCAUCUCUGUCUAAUUCAGAGGAGCAACUAAUAGCUAUUUGUAUGUGUUCAUGUCCAGCCCAGCCUGUUCACGUCAAAAGGGUCCAACGUUCCUCUUUCUUCUCUUGGAAUCUACUACUCCUAUUAGUAUUGCUUCGACCAAUAUUAUAUCAAUCAAAACAAAUGUUCUCUCAUAUUUUGUUGCUUAUGUGUUAUUUAUAUUUUGUAUAUGUCACUUCGGCACAGGUGAUGGUAAAACAGAUAUUCACUUCUCUC